rnacentral:rRNA from 1 species
UUAAGUUAUUAAGGGCGCACGGUGGAUGCCUUGGCACUAGAAGCCGAUGAAGGACGUUACUAACGACGAUAUGCUUUGGGGAGCUGUAAGUAAGCUUUGAUCCAGAGAUUUCCGAAUGGGGAAACCCAGCAUGAGUUAUGUCAUGUUAUCGAUAUGUGAAUACAUAGCAUAUCAGAAGGCACACCCGGAGAACUGAAACAUCUUAGUACCCGGAGGAAGAGAAAGAAAAUUCGAUUCCCUUAGUAGCGGCGAGCGAAACGGGAAGAGCCCAAACCAACAAGCUUGCUUGUUGGGGUUGUAGGACACUCUAUACGGAGUUACAAAGGACGACAUUAGACGAAUCAUCUGGAAAGAUGAAUCAAAGAAGGUAAUAAUCCUGUAGUCGAAAAUGUUGUCUCUCUUGAGUGGAUCCUGAGUACGACGGAGCACGUGAAAUUCCGUCGGAAUCUGGGAGGACCAUCUCCUAAGGCUAAAUACUCUCUAGUGACCGAUAGUGAACCAGUACCGUGAGGGAAAGGUGAAAAGCACCCCGGAAGGGGAGUGAAAUAGAACCUGAAACCGUGUGCUUACAAGUAGUCAGAGCCCGUUAAUGGGUGAUGGCGUGCCUUUUGUAGAAUGAACCGGCGAGUUACGAUUUGAUGCAAGGUUAAGCAGUAAAUGUGGAGCCGUAGCGAAAGCGAGUCUGAAUAGGGCGUUUAGUAUUUGGUCGUAGACCCGAAACCAGGUGAUCUACCCUUGGUCAGGUUGAAGUUCAGGUAACACUGAAUGGAGGACCGAACCGACUUACGUUGAAAAGUGAGCGGAUGAACUGAGGGUAGCGGAGAAAUUCCAAUCGAACCUGGAGAUAGCUGGUUCUCUCCGAAAUAGCUUUAGGGCUAGCCUCAAGUGAUGAUUAUUGGAGGUAGAGCACUGUUUGGACGAGGGGCCCCUCUCGGGUUACCGAAUUCAGACAAACUCCGAAUGCCAAUUAAUUUAACUUGGGAGUCAGAACAUGGGUGAUAAGGUCCGUGUUCGAAAGGGAAACAGCCCAGACCACCAGCUAAGGUCCCAAAAUAUAUGUUAAGUGGAAAAGGAUGUGGCGUUGCCCAGACAACUAGGAUGUUGGCUUAGAAGCAGCCAUCAUUUAAAGAGUGCGUAAUAGCUCACUAGUCGAGUGACACUGCGCCGAAAAUGUACCGGGGCUAAACAUAUUACCGAAGCUGUGGAUUGUCCUUUGGACAAUGGUAGGAGAGCGUUCUAAGGGCGUUGAAGCAUGAUCGUAAGGACAUGUGGAGCGCUUAGAAGUGAGAAUGCCGGUGUGAGUAGCGAAAGACGGGUGAGAAUCCCGUCCACCGAUUGACUAAGGUUUCCAGAGGAAGGCUCGUCCGCUCUGGGUUAGUCGGGUCCUAAGCUGAGGCCGACAGGCGUAGGCGAUGGAUAACAGGUUGAUAUUCCUGUACCACCUAUAAUCGUUUUAAUCGAUGGGGGGACGCAGUAGGAUAGGCGAAGCGUGCGAUUGGAUUGCACGUCUAAGCAGUAAGGCUGAGUAUUAGGCAAAUCCGGUACUCGUUAAGGCUGAGCUGUGAUGGGGAGAAGACAUUGUGUCUUCGAGUCGUUGAUUUCACACUGCCGAGAAAAGCCUCUAGAUAGAAAAUAGGUGCCCGUACCGCAAACCGACACAGGUAGUCAAGAUGAGAAUUCUAAGGUGAGCGAGCGAACUCUCGUUAAGGAACUCGGCAAAAUGACCCCGUAACUUCGGGAGAAGGGGUGCUCUUUAGGGUUAACGCCCAGAAGAGCCGCAGUGAAUAGGCCCAAGCGACUGUUUAUCAAAAACACAGGUCUCUGCUAAACCGUAAGGUGAUGUAUAGGGGCUGACGCCUGCCCGGUGCUGGAAGGUUAAGAGGAGUGGUUAGCUUCUGCGAAGCUACGAAUCGAAGCCCCAGUAAACGGCGGCCGUAACUAUAACGGUCCUAAGGUAGCGAAAUUCCUUGUCGGGUAAGUUCCGACCCGCACGAAAGGCGUAACGAUUUGGGCACUGUCUCAACGAGAGACUCGGUGAAAUCAUAGUACCUGUGAAGAUGCAGGUUACCCGCGACAGGACGGAAAGACCCCGUGGAGCUUUACUGUAGCCUGAUAUUGAAAUUCGGCACAGCUUGUACAGGAUAGGUAGGAGCCUUUGAAACGUGAGCGCUAGCUUACGUGGAGGCGCUGGUGGGAUACUACCCUAGCUGUGUUGGCUUUCUAACCCGCACCAUUUAUCGUGGUGGGAGACAGUGUCAGGCGGGCAGUUUGACUGGGGCGGUCGCCUCCUAAAAGGUAACGGAGGCGCUCAAAGGUUCCCUCAGAAUGGUUGGAAAUCAUUCAUAGAGUGUAAAGGCAUAAGGGAGCUUGACUGCGAGACCUACAAGUCGAGCAGGGUCGAAAGACGGACUUAGUGAUCCGGUGGUUCCGCAUGGAAGGGCCAUCGCUCAACGGAUAAAAGCUACCCCGGGGAUAACAGGCUUAUCUCCCCCAAGAGUUCACAUCGACGGGGAGGUUUGGCACCUCGAUGUCGGCUCAUCGCAUCCUGGGGCUGUAGUCGGUCCCAAGGGUUGGGCUGUUCGCCCAUUAAAGCGGUACGCGAGCUGGGUUCAGAACGUCGUGAGACAGUUCGGUCCCUAUCCGUCGUGGGCGUAGGAAAUUUGAGAGGAGCUGUCCUUAGUACGAGAGGACCGGGAUGGACAUACCUCUGGUGUACCAGUUGUCGUGCCAACGGCAUAGCUGGGUAGCUAUGUGUGGACGGGAUAAGUGCUGAAAGCAUCUAAGCAUGAAGCCCCCCUCAAGAUGAGAUUUCCCAACUUCGGUUAUAAGAUCCCUCAAAGAUGAUGAGGUUAAUAGGUUCGAGGUGGAAGCAUGGUGACAUGUGGAGCUGACGAAUACUAAUCGAUCGAAGACUUAAUCAA